CAAAUUUUCUCAUAGUAAAAGGUGAUCUCUGGUGCCUCCCAAAGCCAACAAGGUUGGGUAAGGCAAUACAAGAAAGCAGAGCUUUAGACGUGAGAAGAAUCUCCCCAUGACUGUUUAAACUCCACCAAAAAAGCAGAAGACCCUAAAAAGAGGGUAUCUUAAAGACAGCAUCAAAGGUUAUAUUUCUCAUUGUAAAAGCAUGAAGUAUGCGAGAGAAAACAGCAUGCUACCAUUUUAUAGACUACUUCAGGAUUACAAACAAUGGGUUGAUUGUAUAUGUGGAUGCAGAACCUGUGGCUAAGAGAAGUUCAACUGUGUCUAUAAUAUGCUAUCUUCCGUGUAAGUGUAGGGGCAAAGGAAAUUUUCCGCUCCCUCUCUGAAGGUUCCAGUUUGCUAAAAUAAACUGAUAACAUGAAAAACGGUACGUAAAUGUAUUAACAUGCAAGUGUGCACAUACAAACUAUGUAUGAGCCAUACAAAAUUGAAACACAAAAAAGGAUGAGAUGGCUAAUGCUUAAAUAGCACCCUCUUCAUAGAGGACAAGGAGAUGAGGGAAUGUAGGCAAUUUUUAGGGGUAGUAAAUGAUUUUUAGGAGAGUUGAUUGGGCC
rnacentral:lncRNA from 10 species